GAUGAACGCUGGCGGCGUGCCUAAUACAUGCAAGUCGAACGAAGAUCUAGCUUGCUAGAUCUUAGUGGCGAACGGGUGAGUAAUACAUAAAUAAUCUACCCAUAUGACUGGGAUAACUAUUGGAAACGAUAGCUAAUACCGGAUAGGUUGAUCGGAGGCAUCUCUGAUUAAUUAAAGUAGGAUUUCUACACAAAUGGAUGAGUUUAUGGCGCAUUAGUUAGUUGGUGGGGUAACGGCCUACCAAGACGAUGAUGCGUAGCCGACCUGAGAGGGUGACCGGCCACACUGGGACUGAGACACGGCCCAGACUCCUACGGGAGGCAGCAGUAGGGAAUUUUCGGCAAUGGGCGCAAGCCUGACCGAGCAACGCCGCGUGAGUGAUUAAGGCCUUCGGGUUGUGAAGCUCUGUUGUAAGGGAAGAACAUUCAGGAUAGGAAAUGAUCUUGAACUGACGGUACCUUACCAGAAAGCCACGGCUAACUACGUGCCAGCCGCCGCCGUAA
rnacentral:rRNA from 1 species